CAGUAUCCGCACCAUUGGCGCCCUCUCCGGCCGCUGCAACACCGGCGAACUCCCAGGCAUCGACAACGCCCUACCCUACGUGGUGCAGCGCCAUCUCCGGUAAGAGGGCUGCCGCCCUACCCUCCCAUGUUCAUCCGCGCCGCCACUUUUUCGGGGAGGGUCGCCCUCUCGAUUCGCCACGCCUCCUUCCCCCACACAACUUCUGUAUCUCUCAUCUCCGUACUUCACCAGUCCGAGUGCGUUGAGAUGGCCGUUGACACUGCUAGAUCAAGGACAUCAACGAUCUAUUUCUUCUAUCCGGCGAGCAUCUAAUUUCUUUUUCUUUUGCAUAGCCUGCGGAGAAGCUUUGUUCGCUGCCCUCUAUGCGAGCCCAUGGCGUACUCUUCUGGAGGUGGGGGAUUCCUCUGUGUUGCCCACUGCCAUGUCACCCAUUCAUUCAGUGUUGCGACGUUGUUUUACAUGGAUGGACAAACCAAGGGCAUGGUGAUGCUCACGAAUCUGAGGGGUACAGGUGAGUCUGAACCGGCACACGAGGUUGUCCCAACCAGUGUGAGAUGCAACCUUAGUUUCAGAAUAGCAUGAAGCAUGAUACGUGAUUACUUGCUGUUUUCCUGGUACAUAGCAUUUGGAAAAAAAGGCUCAUGUUUCAGAUAAAUAAUAAUGAUUUCUAUUCAUUCAACAAUUUUGGUGUAGAAUCUGUUCUUGUCAUAUUAAGCAUAUAAAUCAUAGGAGUUGCUUUAGAUUAUUAGAAUCAUCUUUAGCUGACCAAGUGUGCAGAUAAUAACACUUCUUUGCAUUGGAAUCUCUCAUCUAAAUUACUACCAGUUAGCUUAUGAAAUUCAUUGUUAACUAAAAUUGUAAAGUUGCUGGUUGCCUGAAUGUACUGUAGUAGUAGAUAGUAACGUUAUCUUACCACAAUAGUUGCUAGCAAUGCAAACCAUGUUAAGUAGAGACUCUACAUAGAUGAGUGUUAGUUACGCUAGCACAUAGUGCACACACAUGCAAGUGAUUGUUAGAUAUUUACACACCACCGGUUUCCAGUUUGCCGGUUCCUUCUUCAUCACUCUUCUAUAAAUCUUCAAGUGAAGCCAAGGCUCUCCCUUCAACAGGUAUGAAACAAAAAGAAUGACACUCGUCUAUUUCGUUUAAUUUAUUUAUUGACAAUUCAAUCACGUUUCAUAGAAUAUCAUGAAUUAAUUUCCCCUUGCACAUCAUUUCUUUUUGUUAUGACUAGCAUGGUGUUUUUUUACUGCUGAGCGUGUGGUGCAGGGGAAUUUACUAUGCUGAUUCAGUCUUGUACUUCUUGGUCGAUAUCAAACUGCACUCUUUGGGAGAUGGAGAUCCGGAUAUGGUGGCGGUGGUGGUGAUGACAGGGAAGCUAGGGUGAGCCUGAUCCAGCCGUUUGCAGCAACGAGAGCAGUUCAAGCAAGACAAGGCCAUGGCCUCCAAUGAGUUGCAGAAAAAUAGUUUUUUUACUGCUGAGCAUGUGGUCGGCGAGGUGGGGAUUGGCCGGUGAGCCAUCAAGCCCUCCAGGGGGACGACGCCAACGCACUAGCACCGAUGGUCUCCCUUCCGAUGCCAUCAAGUUUCCCUGCCGGCGCCACUGAUUCUCACUGCCUCCGCCGCCACCCGAAGCUGGAUCUGGACCUUCUCCUCAACUCAGCCUGCAGGGUCUCACACGCUCUGGCCCCUGAUGCAUAUUGAUGCAACGCAAAAAAUAUAAGUGUCAGACAGAGAGCUAGGCAACAGAUGAAUGAUUAGACGUGAUUUUCAAAUAAUGGUGUAUUAAUAAUAU